rnacentral:rRNA from 1 species
ACGGCUGCUCAGUAACACGUAGUCAACUUACCCUAUGGACGAGGAUAAUCUCGGGAAACUGAGCAUAAUACUCGAUAGAUCAUAAUGCCUGGAACGGUUUAUGGUUGAAAUGAUUCGUCGCCAUAGGAUAGGACCGCGGCCUAUCAGCUUGUUGGUGAGGUAAUGGCCCACCAAGGCGAUUACAGGUACGGGCUCUGAGAGGAGAAGCCCGGAGAUGGGUACUGAGACAAGGACCAAGGCCCUAUGGGGCGCAGCAGGCGAGAAAACUUUGCAAUGUGCGAAAGCACGACAAGGUUAAUCCGAGUGAUUUCUGCUAAAGAAAUCUUUUGCAAGUCAUAAAACCACUAGUGAAUAAGGGGUGGGCAAGUUCUGGUGUCAGCCGCCGCGGUAAAACCAGCACCUCAAGUGGUCAGGAGGAUUAUUGGGCCUAAAGCAUCCGUAGCCGGCUCUGUAAGUUUUCGGUUAAAUCCAUGUGCUCAACGCAUGGGCUGUCGAAAAUACUGCAUAGCUAGGGAGUGGGAGAGGUAGACGGUACUCGGUAGGAAGGGGUAAAAUCCUUUGAUCUAUCGAUGACCACCUGUGGCGAAGGCGGUCUACCAGAACACGUUCGACGGUGAGGGAUGAAAGCUGGGGGAGCAAACCGGAUUAGAUACCCGGGUAGUCCCAGCUGUAAACGAUGCAGACUCGGUGAUGCAUUGGCAUAUAGCCAGUGCAGUGUCGCAGGGAAGCCGUUAGGUCUGCCGCCUGGGAAGUACGUACGCAAGUAUGAAAGCUUAAAGGAAUUGGCGGGGGAGCAG